UGGUAAUACAUUUACUUAUUUGUCAGUUUCCAGUAUACACGUACAGCAGUUUCAGAAUUGCUAACCAAUACCCCUGUGAGAAACAACUUUACCAGCUGCAGCAUUUAUGUACACUUUUGUCUUUAAUCUUACAGUUUCUAGUUAAAACACUGUUUUCCAAAAAUUAUUCAGGUCAGCACCUUUUCCCCCAUCCCUUUAGUGAAGUUAUAUCACAUAUCUGAAACAAGCUUGUUAGGUUCUUUUGUCACCAUUGCAUUCCCCUCCGGGAUCCCUAACUCUUGGUUGAUUGAUUUUUUUACUUGCACAUAUUAAGCUCUUUAUGCUAUAAAGUUCUAUCAGUUUUUUCAAAUGCAUAGUAUAUGUCCACCACUACAGUUUACUUUUAACUCUACAACUCCCCCAUUCUUUCCCCCAAGUGAAAACUCCCCUUUCCUCAAAUCCCUAGCAACCACUGAUUGGUUUUCCAGUCUUAAAUUUGGCCCUUUCUAGAAUGCCAUAUGAAUGGAAUCAUUCAAUAUGAUGUAGCCUUUUCAGUCUGGCUUCAAUAACUUGGGAAAAUGCAUUUAAGACGCAUCCAUGUUGUAGCAUCAAUUGCUUAUCAUUGAAUAAUAACCCAUUGCAUGGAUGUACCACCGUUUAUGCAUUCACCUACUGAAGAACUUCUUGGUUGCUUCUAGUUUUUGAUGAUUAUGAACAAAGCUGACAACUAUGAUUAAAGCACGUGCUUUUGCUGGGUCAUGUGGUAAGUCUGUGUUUAACUUUAAUAAGACACUGCUAAACCAUCUUCCAAAGUAGCAAGUAUGAGAUAACCAGCAUUUAGUAUUGUCAGGUUUUUUUUUUCUCUUAACCAAUCUAACAGGUAUGUCAGUAAUAUCUUGCUGUUUCAAUUUCCUUAAUGACAAAUAAUGUUGAGAAUCUUUUUAUAGAUGGUUAUUUGCCAUCCAUAAGUCUUUUUUGCCAUCCAUAAGUCUUUUUGAAGCAGUUGUUCAGAUCAUUUGUCCAUUUUUUUACAAGUGGCUGUUUCCUUAAUUUUUUUCUUAUAUUUUGGAUAUCCAUUCUUUAAGAGAUAUGUGAUUUGAAAAUGUUUUCUCCCAGAUAUAACCUGUGUUUUCAUUCUCUCAACAGAAUCUUUUGUAGAGCAAAAGUCUUCAGUUUUGGUAAGUCCAAUUAAUCAAUUUUUUCUUCCAUGGAUCAUAAAAGGACUGUCUCCGAGAAGAGAGUGAGUUCUUACAACCAAGUGUGACAGAGAAGUCAGAUAAUUUUGAGAAUAUGAUUAAAAUAACUUAUUCUUUUGUCAGUAAAAAAAAAAGCAAUUCCAAAUUCUGUGGGAGAGGGGAGAUACAGAAGAAAGUCAUCAUCUAAUUAUCAAUAAAAUUAAAAUGCUACAUUUUUUUUAAUUUUAGGGAGUGGAAGAUAAGAUACCCCAUUUGACCUUGAUACUAGAAACAUUAUUUUUAGGGUCACAACUUUGAACACAGAGACAAAGAAAUGUAAUCACAGUGUACUACUUGGUUCUGUAUUGUAUAAUCAUAACAAAUUAAUUAGUUAAAUAUCAUGUAUUGAACUUUUAGAAUAAAUUGAAAGCAUGGAAGAGUUCACUAUGAUUACAGAAUAAUUAUAACACUAAUAGCAAUCAUUUAUAUAGUCCUUAUUACGUAUCGGGCCCUGUUUCAAAUGUUUUACAUAAAUCUUCACAAUAAUCCUGUGAAAUAAGAGUACAUUAUCCUCAUUUUAUAAUUGAGAAAACUGAGGCACAGAGAAAUUAAAUAAUUUGCCAAGGUGACACAGCUAGGAUGUGGUAGUGCUUGGAUUUAAACCCAGGCAACCUAAUUCCAAUGUCCACAUUCUUAACCACAAAGUUAUACUGCCUUCCUUAAAUAGAAUAUAAAUAUUAUAAACUUUGAUAAUUUUAAAGUAAAUGGAUAUUUGACAGAAGUUAAAAGACAGAAGGGAGGUAAAAAUUAAAGUAGAGGGUAUGGGUAAUAAACUCUCACUUUAUAAAAAGGGCAAUAAAGGAUACAGUACUGCCAAAAGCUAAUGGAACAUGAAAUAGAGGUUCAGGCAUAUUGGAGUCACAAAGCUAACCAACAGAGGAAAUAACAACAAUAAUAUAUAACUAUAUAAAGUUUGAAGAAGGGCAAUAGAGUAGCAGAAGAGUAAAUCAUCUUAAACAUCAAGUCAUCGACAGUUAUCGCCUUAGUUGAUAAAUCAAGAAGUAGUAAGAUAAGCAUAUUAUUUAAAAUUAUAGAAACACCCACCACAAGACAAAAAGAAAUAAUCAAAAUUGGCAUGCAGCAUUUCAAAUAAACUAGUUGUAGCUGUCCACUUUCACACUGCUAUAAAGAAUUCCCUGAGAGUGGGUAAUUUAUAAAGGAAAGAGGUUUAAUUGACUCACAGCUCCACUUGGCUUUGUUUCCUCGGGAAACUUACAAUCAUGAUGGAAGGUGAAGGGGAACCAAGGACCCUCUUCACAUGGUGGCAGGAGAGAGAAGUACAUGUGUCAGCACAGAAAAAACUACCAUUUAUAAAACCAUCAGAUCUCAUGAGAAUUCACUCACUAUCAUGAGAACAGCAUGGAGGAAAGCGACCCCAUAAUGCAAUCACUUCCCACCAGGUCUCUCCCUAAACACCUGGGGACUACAAUUCAAGAUGAGAUUUGGGUGGGGACACAAAGCCUAACCAUAUCACUAGUAUAGUACAGCAGUUAAAAAUAUAAACUCUGGAUCAAACCUUCUUGGGAUCAAACCCCAUUCCUCCACUUAACAUUACAGUCUGUUAAAGAAAGUUACUCAACUUCUCUUUCCUCAAUUUUCUUAUCAGAAAAUGGCUAUAAAUAUGGAGAUGGC
rnacentral:lncRNA from 1 species